UGUUUUUCCUGGGCCCCAGGAGAUCUUCGGGCCCAUCCUGGCCGUGUUCGUGUACCCCGAGCAGCGCUACCGCGAGGUGCUGGAGCUCAUCGACACCACCACCCCCUACGGCCUCACGGGGGCGAUCUUCGCCCGGGAGAAGGCUGCCAUCGAGGAGUCCCUGCGGGUGCUGCGCCACGCCGCCGGCAACAUCUACAUCAACGACAAAUCCACGGGGGCCGUGGUGGCCCAGCAGCCCUUCGGGGGCUCCCGCAUCUCAGGCACCAAUGACAAGCCCGGGGGUCCCCACUACCUGCUGCGCUGGACGUCCCCGCAGGCCAUCAAGGAGACACACGUGGCCCUGGGGGACUGGCAGUACCCCUGCAUGCAGUGACCCUGGGGGACUGGCAGUACCCCUGCAUGCAGUGACCCUGGGGACAGCUGCCACCGCAGCGCCGGCAGCGCUCGCACUACUGACCCCCCACCUGCCCCUCCUAGCUCCUGAAAAAAAAACAAACAAAAAAAGUUGUUAAAUGGUAAAAGCUCGGAGCUGCUCGUGGUGUCCUCGGCCGCCCCUGGGGACACGAUGGUGAGUGUGCCACUGCUUGGGUUGCAUGACCUUAAAGGGCUUUGCCAACCUCA